AUUGAACGCUAGCGGGAUGCUUUACACAUGCAAGUCGAACGGCAGCGCGGACUUCGGUCUGGCGGCGAGUGGCGAACGGGUGAGUAAUGUAUCGGAACGUGCCCAGUAGCGGGGGAUAACUACGCGAAAGCGUAGCUAAUACCGCAUACGCCCUACGGGGGAAAGCAGGGGAUCGUAAGACCUUGCACUAUUGGAGCGGCCGAUAUCGGAUUAGCUAGUUGGUGAGGUAACGGCUCACCAAGGCGACGAUCCGUAGCUGGUUUGAGAGGACGACCAGCCACACUGGGACUGAGACACGGCCCAGACUCCUACGGGAGGCAGCAGUGGGGAAUUUUGGACAAUGGGGGCAACCCUGAUCCAGCCAUCCCGCGUGUGCGAUGAAGGCCUUCGGGUUGUAAAGCACUUUUGGCAGGAAAGAAACGUCGCGGGCUAAUACCUCGUGGAACUGACGGUACCUGCAGAAUAAGCACCGGCUAACUACGUG
rnacentral:rRNA from 1 species